rnacentral:rRNA from 1 species
CAGCAGCCGCGGGAAAACGUAGGGUGCAAGCGUUAAUCGGAAUUACUGGGCGUAAAGCGUGCGCAGGCGGUUCGCUAAGACAGAUGUGAAAUCCCCGGGCUUAACCUGGGAACUGCAUUUGUGACUGGCGGGCUAGAGUAUGGCAGAGGGGGGUAGAAUUCCACGUGUAGCAGUGAAAUGCGUAGAGAUGUGGAGGAAUACCGAUGGCGAAGGCAGCCCCCUGGGCCAAUACUGACGCUCAUGCACGAAAGCGUGGGGAGCAAACAGGAUUAGAUACCCGGGUAGUCCCUGUCUCUUAUAC